rnacentral:rRNA from 1 species
AUUGAACGCUGGCGGAAUGCUUUACACAUGCAAGUCGAACGGCAGCACGGGGCAACCUGGUGGCGAGUGGCGAACGGGUGAGUAAUACAUCGGAACGUGCCCAAUCGUGGGGGAUAACGUAGCGAAAGUUACGCUAAUACCGCAUACGAUCUACGGAUGAAAGCGGGGGAUCGCAAGACCUCGCGCGAAUGGAGCGGCCGAUGUCAGAUUAGGUAGUUGGUGGGGUAAAGGCUCACCAAGCCGACGAUCUGUAGCUGGUCUGAGAGGACGACCAGCCACACUGGGACUGGGACACGGCCCAGACUCCUACGGGAGGCAGCAGUGGGGAAUUUUGGACAAUGGGGGCAACCCUGAUCCAGCAAUGCCGCGUGAGUGAAGAAGGCCUUCGGGUUGUAAAGCUCUUUUGUCAGGGAAGAAACAGCAGCUCUAACACAGUCUGCGAAUGACGGUACCUGAAGAAUAAGCACCGGCUAACUACGUGCCAGCCGCCGCGGUAACAC